UUAAGUUCAGCGGGUAUCCUACCUCGAUCCGAGGUCAACCUUAGAAAAUUGGGUUGUUGGUCGCCAACCGGAGGGAACCCUCAGCGAGAUAUUUACUACGCUCGGGACCCAACGGUGCCGCCACUGAGUUUGAGGUUCACCAUUGCUGGCGUGACCCAAUACCAAGCUGAGCUUGAGUGGUGUUAAUGACGUUCGAACAG
rnacentral:misc_RNA from 1 species